CAGCCGCCACGGGAAAACGAAGGGGGCUAGCGUUGCUCGGAAUGACUGGGCGUAAAGGGCGCGUAGGCGGUUUUGACAGUCAGAUGUGAAAUUCCUGGGCUUAACCUGGGGGCUGCAUUUGAGGCGUCAAGACUAGAGUGUGAGAGAGGGUUGUGGAAUUCCCAGUGUAGAGGUGAAAUUCGUAGGUAUUGGGAAGAACACCGGUGGCGAAGGCGGCAACCUGGCUCAUUACUGACGCUGAGGCGCGAAAGCGUGGGGAGCAAACAGGAUUAGAGACCCCUGUAGUCCCUGUCUCUUAUAC
rnacentral:rRNA from 1 species